GUGCUCACUUCGGCAGCACGUAUACUAAAAUUGGAACAAUAGAGAGAAGAUUAGCAUGGCCCCUGCACAAGGAUGACACGCAAAUUUGUGACGCAGUCCAUAUUUUA
rnacentral:snRNA from 1 species